rnacentral:lncRNA from 1 species
UGUUGAAAUACAAAAGUAAGUAUGUUUUUAUCGUCUCCACAGGGACUGAUGCGAUAUCAAUGCCGUUCAACAAUUAAUAUAAUUUCAAGUAAAGGAUUUCAAAGAUGGUUGAUUACGAAAGUUGCGAAUAUAUGAAAGUAAUAGAGAUGAUUAAUUUGACAGAGAGAUUAAAUUGCUGGGAUUAGAUUUCAAUCACUCAUUCAUACAUAUUCCCCUAAUCAGUUACACAGGUUCUAGUCAUCUAUUAAUAUUAUCACGUAUCGCUCGUCGAACAUUUCCGUGUCCAGAUAACGCCGAGAUAUCUAUUGCAUCUAUUAACCUCCGAUGUCUCGGAUCGUCAAUCAAUACAAUAGCAUUAAGAUUCGAUACUCUGAGUGAAUAUUAAACCUAAAUCUAUGUCUAGAAUUUAGAGUUUAAUAGAUAUUAUCCUAGUUCUUAGAUUCAAAAGGUAUAUGUCUAUACAAUUCAAAUCAAAGAUUAAAACAACGAAAACAAAAAUAACAUCAAUAUUGAGAGACAACUAAAACCAUAUAUAAAACCAUGAUCAAUAGAAACACAUACUAAUAGAGUAAUUUACACUAAUCCCAACAAAAGUGUCUUUAGCUACUCAUUACCAUGGUAGCUUUACACAAGUGAGAAGAAAAGAGAUGAAAUAACAACACCGGUGUCGAUUUCUCGAACGGUUGGCGUGCAUCCCACCUUUGCUUUGCUCUCGUUUCUUCCGUGCUUCAGUCCUCCCUGUUUCUUUAGUUUGGGCGUGUUGUGUGAGAGUUUUGGAAUGAAUUGAAUUUUCAAGGAAUGGCUUCACAUGCCUUUUAUAGGCUUUUAAUGCUAAGCAAAUUGCACAAGGCGGUGCUUACACUAUGAUGAUAUCCUUCAUGGCUAAGUUAGCUUUUAUAAUNNNNNNNNNNNNNNNNNNNNNNNNNNNNNNNNNNNNAAUUGUGCCUCUUCAUAAUUUUGGUCCAAUGACAAUUUUUCUUAGUCUCCAAUAGGUCUCAUUGCUUCUAUUUUUCCAUUAAGCUCAUAAAACCUACAAAAAUGUAUUGGAAUUAGGUAGAAAUAACAUAAAUGACUAAUUUGUUAAUUAAAACUAUAUUUACAAUUAGUUGGUUUUUUUAUAUGAAAUUACUUUUAAAACAAGUCAAUAAGUGCCCAAAAUAUAUAUGUAAAAUUACCACUUUUUGGCACUUAUCAACUCUCCCCAACUUAGAACUUUGUUUGUCCUCAAACAAAAGUCCAAAAUAAACUCUCAAAAUAUGGUUCAAACAUCCGUGCAUGAUUCAAUCAAGAUUUAUGAUCAAUCAAAAACUUUGGAUUUCAAUCAUUUCAAGUUUGCAUGAUUCAAUGUAUUGCAAGUUCAAAAUCAAACCUUCAUAAUCAUCAAAAAAUCAAAGCAUGAAUGUGAAAUAGUUUCAAAAUUCAAGUAAGAUUUCAAACUUUCCAAAUCAACAAGACAAUCAACUAGAAUCACAAUUCUCACAAAUGUUUCAACUCAAGGGUGUAGUGUUUCUCUCAAUCCAAGCAAUGUGUUCACAACAAAUCAAUUCAAACAUACAUCUUAACAUAAUCACAAGACAUGUUAUCAAUCAUGGAUCACUAAGGUCUUUCUUAAGCUUGUAAUGGGGCUAGGCUACAAGAAAUCAUUGUUUUUCUUUGGAUUCAAAAUGCCUUAAGGAUAAGAGAGCAUAGACUUUGAGUAUCUUCAUAACAUUACAUAAGUUAUUCAUCCUCUUUCACUUUCCCCAUUCUUUACUUUUGGUGAUUCUUUUGACACAAUUUCUAUUCAUUUCCUUUUCUUUUGAAACACAUUUUCUUUGAUUUUCAUUUGUGUGUCAAAUGACUUACAAUGUUUUUCUUUUUCAAUCACCAUCUUCAAUAUCUCAUAUUUUUCAACUACUUUUUUAUUUUUUUAUUUUACAAAUAACCUCUUUCUCCCCAACUUGUUUUCAACCCUACUUAAAUUCAAUGCUCAAUCAUCCUAAGACAAGGGUUAAGUCAUUGUUUUUCUUUAUUGUGGUUCAAGGGUUCAAAAUCAAACAAAAUUUCAAAUUUUUUGGCUCAAGGGGGUAGCAAAGGAUCACACUAACUCACAAGGUAGGUUAUUUUGGCUUAAGUAGUUAUCACUCAAAAAGAAACAUGGCCUUGAUCAUUUCCAUGACUUCAAACACAUCAAGUAAUAGCAAGAUUCAGUUAAAAUCAACAGAGUUAANNNNNNNNNNNNAGGUCUACGUGAUUCAAAAUCAAUUAAUCAUGUUAAGAAGGAAUGGAUGAAAUCAAAUUGAAUAAAGCUACUUGGUUCAAAUUCAUCCUAUCAUUCAAAGAUAAUCACAAAUAUUUGACCUCAAA